UGGUCAGGGUUUGUAGAUUGUCCUUUAUGUAAUGUGUUCACUUGUUUUUUCGAGUCUUUGUUUCAAGAGGGAUUAGCGGAAUCUCCUGCCUAGUCAGCCAUCUUGGUCCUGCCCCCGUGUCUGCCUCUUUAUGUGAUUUGAUAUUGACUGUUGUCUCUGAGCAAUCUAUAAGUUAUUGUAUUAGUUUAUUUUAUGCUUGCUUUUUGUAUCCUAGCUUCUUGCUUUGUUUAGUUUUGGUAUUCCCAAAUAAGCUGCUUGAGUGCGCUAGGUUGAUUAUUUUCACCUUUGAAGCUCUAAUGUACUAUCACCAGAUGGCUAGCAGUGUUACCAGGUAUAUGAGCCUAGGAGUUCAUUUACUUUUUUUGUAUGCAUUCAACUCAGGUGCCCAGGUAGUUGGUCAUAAAGUGUAAGGUACAGGCUCUGUCCUACAGUCUUAGAGGGGCAGGGGUUAUUGGUGUAGGCAGAAGUAUCUGGCUGCAGUAGGGGGUCAGGCUCUGAUCAAGGCAGAGGUCUGACAGCUGUGCUCUGAGUGUCUGUGAGGAAAGCGCAUCCCUGUUCUGUAGAGCACAUGGGUGGGUUCUGCAGAAGGGCAGUGGGUACCCAAUGCUUUUGGUUGUAAGUUCUGGGCGGUACUACUUAUCCUUGGAGCCCUAUCACAGGUGGCUAGGUAUUGUGGGUGGAGCCAGCAGUCCUUAGGCCCCUGAUGUGGGUAGGUGAAGACCCUGUUUAAUAGGCAAAGCAGUGUCAAACAUCAAACACCCAUCUUCCCACCGUUCAGCUGAAACAGUUGCAGUCUGGCAACAAGGGCCUAUUCUCCUGAAAUGGGCCCACACAGGUCCAUGCUGGGGUGAAAGGUAUUCAAAGCCCAUGGACUGUUUGUGCCUGAACAAGAGCUGCUUCUGUCCUGAGCUCCCCAGCUUAAUUGAGCUGGCAGAUUAUCUUUCCCCCAGUUGUGAACUUAUACCUUCUUCAAGGAUGGAAAAAUGGCUCAGAGUGGUACCAGGGCCUAUCUCAGGCCCAGGGAAGUUGACAGCCACUGAAGCCGGCUUGGGGGCUGGGGGCGUGGUAAAAUAAACACAAGUAAUUAGCUUUUGCUGAGAGUGCCGUUCUUCUCUUGUUCUGGAGGUGUGAGUAGUCUGUGCAACUUGCUGUCCUUCCCUGAGCUAAACGCCUCUGGAACGCUACUGCCAGCCCCGCUGCAGUCGCUCCAGGGAACGGUGCCUGAGGGUUCCUGGCUAUUCAGGUCCAGUAACUCCUCUCCACUUCUGAAUAGUCUCUCCCUCCCCCUGCCGCUGAGUCCGUUUUCUAACUUUGCCUUUGAUGCUCAGGGCUCCUAGCUUGUCAUAAAUAUAAUCGCUUCACUUGUUUUUUCUGGUUUUUUUUGUAAGAGGGAUCACUGGUGGUGUCUCAAUACUCAAAACUUCAUCAUUUCUUCCUUUCACUUUAGCUACUCGACAUUCAAGAGCAACGUUCAGAGUCUCUUCCGACAUCCGUUUUGGUCUUUUCUUUCUUUCCUGUCUUUUAAAGGAUCUCUUGCUUUCUUCAUGUGUGAUGUCCUUGAUGUCAUUCCACAACUCGUCUGGUCUUCAGUCGUUAGUGUUCAACACGUAAAAUGUGUUCUUGAGGUGGUCUCUAAAUACAGGUGAGAUAUACUCAAGGUCAUACUUUGGCCCCUUUUGACUUAUUCUAAUUUUCUUCAGUUUCAACUUGAUCUCCCAUAUGAGCAAUUGACACUCUGUUUCACAAUCAAUCCCUGGCCUUGUUCUGACUGAUGAUACGAGUUUUCCCAUCUUCUCUUUCCACAGAUGUAGUCAGUUUGAUUCCUGUGUAUUCCAUCUGGUAAAGUCCACGUGUAUAGCUGCCGUUUAUGUUGGUGAAAAAAAAUAUUUGCAGUGGAUGAGUCACUGGUCUUGCAAAAUUCUUUCAUGAGAUUUCUGGCGUCAUUUAUUUCAGCGAUGCUGUAUUUUCCAACUACUUUUCCUUCUUUGUUUCCAACUUUAACAUUCUAAUGACCAGUAAUUAUCAAUGCAUCUUGAUUGCAUGUUUGAUCAAUUUCAGGCUGCAGAAGUUGUUUAAAAUCUUCAAUUUCUUUAUCUUUGGCAUUAGUGGUUGGUGCAUAAAUUUGAAUAGUCAUAUAAACUGGUCUUCCUUGUAAGUGUAUGGAUUUUAGCCUAUCAGUGACAACAUUGUACUUCAGGCUAGAUCUUGAAAUGUUCUCUUUGAUGAUAUGUAACGUCAUUCUUUUGACUCUGGUGGAAUAUCCAUGUUUGUAAGACUGCUCACAGACUGUUUCACCAGAGAGUUUUCUGGUACUGCAAUAUCUACCACUAAUCUCUGUGAUCCCUGUGAAUUGGCAAAAUAAGAAUAGUGCUAUAGAUUUCUUCCAAAUACAGAAAACAUAAGUAUGAAAAUGUUCUUGCUGUUGAUUAUAUUCUUUACCAAUCUGUUUGUAUGGGAUUUUUGGUACUUCACUUGAAAAAUGAGUCCAAGGUACUGUGAUGUGAUUGUUUACUUUGUGUGGCCUUUCUAGCCAUGGUCUUAUAACAUCUAGCCUGGUACUUGGGCAGGACUGUGUGAUAGGGUAAUUGUGGCUCACCAAGGGGAUUGUUUAUUUUCCCUUCAAAGAGAACCAGUUCCAGAGCAAAGAGGAGGAUUCAACUCCCAUCAAGGAAGAACAGCCAAGAGCCGAGCGUAUAUUAUGGACCUGAGAUCCCUGCACUGAGAAGCUCCUAGAAGCAGGAGACUGAGAUAGAGAGAGGAAGCUGUAACCCUGAAGAUGCUUAAAUACAGACCAGAAGAGGAGUUUGGGGCUUGACACCUGACAUCUUAACACCAGUUCCUGUUUCUUGAGGAAGGAAGAGGUAAAAUAAAUCAGCGUUUACUGUGUCGUUCUCCAUCCCCGGAAGUCCUGAUGAAGACCCUCUCAGCUUCAACUUGAACGUGAAUAUGAGCAACUGAUCAUCUGUUCUGCAGUCAGCCCCUGGCCUGAUUCUGACUCAGGAUAUUGACCUUCUCCAUCAUCACCUUCCACAAAUUUGUUUUCUGUCUAUUCUGCCUGGAGUGGUUCACGAGUAUAGUCACCAUUUAUGUUCCUGAUGAAAGCUUAAAUACAGACCAGAAGAGGAGUUUGGGGCUUGACACCUGACAUCUUAACACCAGUUCCUGUUUCUUGAGGAAGGAAGAGGUAAAAUAAAUCAACGUUUACUGUGUCGUUCUCCAUCCCCGGAAGUCCUGAUGAAGACCCUCUCAGCUUCUACUUGAACGUGAAUAUGAGCAACUGAUCAUCUGUUCUGAAGUCAGCCCCUGGCCUGAUUCUGACUCAUGGUAUUGACCUUCUCCAUCAUCACCUUCCACAAAUUUGAUUCCUAUCUAUUCUGCCUGGAAUGGUUCACGAGUAUAGUCACCAUUUAUGUUCCUGACGAAAGCAGGUGAAGACAUUCGUGGAGAGACGCGGUUUCCAUGCGUGCAGGCAAAGUGUGUGCUGAGAUGAUGAGUUGCUGGAGACCAGGGUGGACUCUUCAGACCCAGAAUAGGCCUCUGGCAGGAGGAGAAGGCAUUCGUGGAGAGAGGCAGAUUCCAUGUGUGCAGGCAAAGUGUGUGCUGACAUGAUGAGACGCUGGAGACCAGGGUGGACUCUUCAGACCCAGGAUAGACCUCUGGCAGGUCAAAGAACUGGAAGAAAAAGGCCGUCUGAGAUGAAAGAAGCAAAAGAGAGGAGAGGGUUCUUAACCUGGGGAGAACAGCGAGAACACAGUUAUAGAGACCAGAAGAGCUCACUGGUUCCAAGAACAAGAAGAAAUGCACUGGAUCUGAUUAUUACUGUCUGUGGUGUGCUCUCCUUCAAGUGAUUCAAAUCUUUUGUCUGUCAUUAUAGAAAAUUUUCACCUAUUUAAAAUAUCUAACGAAACACAUUAAAAUAUACAUGUAUCUAUGAUGUUUAUCAAUUUCCGAAGUUCUGAAAUUGUUUUUUAUUACAUUUUCAAGAUUACAGAUUUGUAUGACAAAAAAGUUACAUCAGGGUCCCACCCUCGUAUGUAAUUUGCUCCCACUCCCACAAGGUAUCCAAUGUUAAUAGACACAUAUGUGUCCUUCCGUACACUUCUCUGCAGGGACACAUAUACACAGUCACAGGUACACAAGUACAUCUGCUGGGAUGUUUGCUUUUAUGGAAACUUGGUCUCACUCUAUCCACAUUGCUCUUGCCCCUUCUUUCACUUGACAUUCUACCUUGAUUCUCUGUAAGUCAUUAGAUAUGGCACUAACACUAUAUUUUUGGGUCUUUAACUUACAUGAAUAAUUUAAAUAGAUGAUAUCAAUUCAGUACACUUUAUCUGGACUUGUACAUGUUGUUGUUAGAAGCUAUCAAGUCAGUUCUGACUCACAGUGACCCUAGGCACCACAGAACAAAACUCGGCCGGUCACUGCAAUCCUAAUAAUCGUUGCUAUAUUUGAGCACACUGUUGCAGCCAUUGUAUCA